CACGGAUACUAGUCAGAUUCUUGCCACAGCAAUGCCAGAUCCUUAACCCACUGAGCAAAGCCAGGGAUGGAACCCGAGUCCUCAUAGACACUAAUCAGGUUCUUAACUUGCUGAGCCACAGCGGUAACUCCUUAAAGGAUUUCCAAUCAGGUCCCCCGGUUACCACCUGGUGCCCCUGGCAGCAGCGAGGUGACAACAGAGAGGAACAGUAGUGACAGGCCAGCAGCACAUGAAAGAGGCUGAGUGCCAGGCUGUGGGGCAGCCCUCUCUUCCAGAAGCCAGCCGCUACAACAGACAAGUGCCCCCGUGACUGUUCAUGAACCAUAGUGUCAUCUUUACAAAUAGAAGUAGAAUUUUCCCAUCUCUCUCUGUGAUAUUAACAAUUACUUCCA